CCUACGGGAGGCUGCAGUGAGGAAUAUUGGUCAAUGGGCGUGAGCCUGAACCAGCCAAGUCGCGUGAGGGAAGACGGUCCUACGGAUUGUAAACCUCUUUUGUCGGGGAGCAAACGACGCCACGCGUGGCGUUCCGAGAGUACCCGAAGAAAAAGCAUCGGCUAACUCCGUGCCAGCAGCCGCGGUAAUACGGAGGAUGCGAGCGUUAUCCGGAUUUAUUGGGUUUAAAGGGUGCGCAGGCGGAAUGCCAAGUCAGCGGUAAAAUUGAGGGGCUCAACCUCUUCGAGCCGUUGAAACUGGUGUUCUUGAGUGAGCGAGAAGUAUGCGGAAUGCGUGGUGUAGCGGUGAAAUGCAUAGAUAUCACGCAGAACUCCGAUUGCGAAGGCAGCAUACCGGCGCUCAACUGACGCUGAUGCACGAAAGUGUGGGUAUCGAACAGGAUUAGAUACCCUUGUAGUC
rnacentral:rRNA from 1 species